rnacentral:misc_RNA from 1 species
GAAAAAAAGAGUAGCAGAGGUGAAGCAAAGCAUAGUUGCUGGUAUGCAGAUUGAUGGUAUUUCACGGAAGAGUAUGAAAUAUUUUUUUGAAGAAAGAAUUGUUGAAUCUGCUGUUGGGGUAAUCUCCAUUUCUGCCUUGCCAUCAUGGCUCCCUCCGCCAACACCUGCUGUUGGGGCAAUCUUGAGCUCAAACCUAUACCAAGCAAGUUUUAGAAGAAUUUUGUUGUGUGCGCAAGACAACAAGUCCUUAAUAACAAAAGGAAGAAUAAGAUCCUCUCGAUAUUACAUAUGAUCGUGAUCUAAGUUGUCACACUUUCACUGACUCAAUUUUCUUGCUUCUUCAUUUUUGCAAACUUCUUUUAAUUUUGAUAACUUGAACACGAUCUUGUACGUAA